rnacentral:rRNA from 1 species
CCUACGGGGGGCUGCAGUGGGGAAUAUUGGACAAUGGGGGCAACCCUGAUCCAGCCAUGCCGCGUGUGUGAAGAAGGCCCUCGGGUUGUAAAGCACUUUCAGUGAGGAAGAACGCCUGGUGGUUAAUACCCAUCAGGAAAGACAUCACUCACAGAAGAAGCACCGGCUAACUCCGUGCCAGCAGCCGCGGUAAUACGGAGGGUGCGAGCGUUAAUCGGAAUUACUGGGCGUAAAGCGCGCGUAGGUGGCUUGAUAAGCCGGUUGUGAAAGCCCCGGGCUCAACCUGGGAACGGCAUCCGGAACUGUCAAGCUAGAGUGCAGGAGAGGAAGGUAGAAUUCCCGGUGUAGCGGUGAAAUGCGUAGAGAUCGGGAGAAAUACCAGUGGCGAAGGCGGCCUUCUGGACUGACACUGACACUGAGGUGCGAAAGCGUGGGUAGCAAACAGGAUUAGAUACCCUAGUAGUC